GAUGAACGCUGGCGGCGUACCUAAUACAUGCAAGUCGAGCGAACAGACGAGGAGCUUGCUCCUCUGACGUUAGCGGCGGACGGGUGAGUAACACGUGGAUAACCUACCUAUAAGACUGGGAUAACUUCGGGAAACCGGAGCUAAUACCGGAUAAUAUAUUGAACCGCAUGGUUCAAUAGUGAAAGACGGUUUUGCUGUCACUUAUAGAUGGAUCCGCGCCGCAUUAGCUAGUUGGUAAGGUAACGGCUUACCAAGGCAACGAUGCGUAGCCGACCUGAGAGGGUGAUCGGCCACACUGGAACUGAGACACGGUCCAGACUCCUACGGGAGGCAGCAGUAGGGAAUCUUCCGCAAUGGGCGAAAGCGUGACGGAGCAACGCCGCGUGAGUGAUGAAGGUCUUCGGAUCGUAAAACUCUGUUAUUAGGGAAGAACAAAUGUGUAAGUAACUAUGCACGUCUUGACGGUACCUAAUCAGAAAGCCACGGCUAACUACGUG
rnacentral:rRNA from 1 species